GUUGGGAUCCCACUAACAUGUUUAACCCAGCCACAUUAUGUAUGUAUGUGCCUGUCCCAAAUCAGGAGCCUGUAAUUCAGUGGUUGUCGUUUGUUUAUGUGUUACAUAUUUUUUUUUCGUUCAUUUUUUUUAUAUAAAUAAGGCCGUUAGUUUUCUCGUUUGAAAUGUUUUACAUUGUCAUUUCGGGGCCUUUUAUAGCUGACUAUA
rnacentral:lncRNA from 1 species